rnacentral:rRNA from 1 species
UACGUGAAACCGUUCAGGGGUAAACCUGAGAAACCCGAAAGGUCGAAAGAGGAAAUUCAUUCGCGUUUCGAUGUUGAAGUUGAGCGUUUGUAUGACGGAUGACGUUUCGGCGUCGUCUGCAUCUUGUGCUUUUCGAAUUGACGUCGAACGCGUGCACUUUUCCUCUAGUAGGACGUCGCGAUCCGUUGGGUGUCUGUCUAAGGCUCGGGGUGGAGCCCACUUGAUUUUAUAUCGUGUGGACCCUCGAUGUCCCGACAGACUCGCUCGACGGUAUACUAAUGGCGCGGGGCCGCUACUUCAGUUAGCGUUCGGCCCGUAGCAAGCAUGUUCUGUGUUUGAUGGCGAUCGGACCUAGUGCCGAUUCUGUCCCGGAGCAACUGUUGGUUACGGUGUUCUCGAACAGACCUCGUUUACGAAACGCCGAUCAGCGACGCUUUAGAUUUGGGUACUUUCAGGACCCGUCUUGAAACACGGACCAAGGAGUCUAGCAUGUGCGCGAGUCAUUGGGAUACAACUAAACCUAAAGGCGUAAUGAAAGUAAAGGUUUACCUUGCGUAGACCGAGGGAGGAUGAGCGGUUUGCCCUUAAAAGUGACCGCUCCGCACUCCCGGGGCGUCUCAUUCUCAUUGCGAGAAGAGGCGCAUCAAGAGCGUACACGCUGGGACCCGAAAGAUGGUGAACUAUGCCUGGUCAGGACGAUAGUCAGGGGAAACCCUGAUGGAGGUCCGUAGCGAUUCUGACGUGCAAAUCGAUCGUCGGAACU